CAGCAGCCGCGGUAAUACCGGCGGCCCGAGUGGCGGCCACUAUUAUUGGGCCUAAAGCGUCCGUAGCCGGGCUGGUAAGUCCUCCGGGAAAUCUGGUCGCUUAACGAUCAGACUUCCGGAGGAUACUGCUGGCCUAGGGACCGGGAGAGGCCGAGGGUAUUCCCGGGGUAGGGGUGAAAUCCUGUAAUCCCGGGAGGACCACCUGUGGCGAAGGCGCUCGGCUGGAACGGGUCCGACGGGGAGGGACGAAGGCCAGGGGAGCGAACCGGAUUAGAUACCCGGGUAGUCCCGGCGGUAAACGAUGCGGGCUAGCUGUUGGGUGGGCUUAGAGCCCACCCAGUGGCGCAGGGAAGCCGUUAAGCCCGCCGCCUGGGGAGUACGGCCGCAAGGCUGAAACUUAAAGGAAUUGGCGGG
rnacentral:rRNA from 1 species